GAGUGAUCGAAAGAUGAAAAGCACUUUGAAAAGAGAGUUAAAAAGCACGUGAAAUUGUUGAAAGGGAAGCGCUUGCGACCAGACUCGCCCGCGGGGUUCAGCCGGCAUUCGUGCCGGUGUACUUCCCCGUGGGCGGGCCAGCGUCGGUUUGGGCGGCAGGUCAAAGGCCCCCGGAAUGUAGUGCCCUUCGGGGCACCUUAUAGCCGGGGGUGCAAUGCUGCCAGCCUGGACCGAGGAACGCGCUUCGGCACGGACGCUGGCAUAAUGGUUGUAAACGACCC
rnacentral:rRNA from 1 species